CCUACGGGUGGCAGCAGUGGGGAAUAUUGCACAAUGGGGGAAACCCUGAUGCAGCGACGCCGCGUGAGUGAGGAAGUAUUUCGGUAUGUAAAGCUCUAUCUGCAGGGAAGUAAAUUACGGUACCUGACUAAGAAGCCCUGUCUAACUACGUGCCAGCAGCCGCGGCAAUACGUAGGGGGCCAGCGUUAUCCGGAUUUACUGGGUGUAAAGGGAGCGUAGACGGGUAAUCAAGUCAGAAGUGAAAACCCAGGGCUCAACUUUGGGACUGCAUUUGAUACUGAGUAGCUAGAGUGCAGGAGAGGUAAGCGGAAGUCCUAGUGUAGCGGUGAAAUGCGUAGAUAUUAGGAGGAACGCCAGUGGCGAAGGCAGCUUACUGGACUGUAACUGACGUUGAGGCUCGAAAGCGUGGGGAGCAAACAGGAUUAGAUACCCCUGUAGUC
rnacentral:rRNA from 1 species